rnacentral:rRNA from 1 species
AUUGAACGCUGGCGGCAGGCCUAACACAUGCAAGUCGAGCGGAUGAAGGGAGCUUGCUCCUGGAUUCAGCGGCGGACGGGUGAGUAAUGCCUAGGAAUCUGCCUGGUAGUGGGGGAUAACGUCCGGAAACGGGCGCUAAUACCGCAUACGUCCUGAGGGAGAAAGUGGGGGAUCUUCGGACCUCACGCUAUCAGAUGAGCCUAGGUCGGAUUAGCUUGUUGGUGGGGUAAAGGCCUACCAAGGCGACGAUCCGUAACUGGUCUGAGAGGAUGAUCAGUCACACUGGAACUGAGACACGGUCCAGACUCCUACGGGAGGCAGCAGUGGGGAAUAUUGGACAAUGGGCGAAAGCCUGAUCCAGCCAGGCGGCGUGUGUGAAGAAGGUCUUCGGAUUGUAAAGCACUUUAAGUUGGGAGGAAGGGCAGUAAGUUGAUACCUUGCUGUUUUGACGUUACCAGCAGAAUAAGCACCGGCUAACUUCGUG